CUCCCGCUGGCCUCUGCACCUGCGGGCUCCGAGCCUGCCCUCCUCGGGUUGGGAUUCCUCCUGGGGGCCCAGGCGCAGGCAGCAGCCGCUGGGCUGGCUGUGGAAGUCAGCGGGUGUGUGGCCGUGAAUGCGGCCCUCAGUGCUUCUUGGCGGGAACUGCGCCCCUUUUGUCCCUCUGUCUCUUUAGCUCUCUGUGGCGUCCACAUCUGGAGAGCCCAGUGUCGUUUCGGCCCUGGUAAACAGCUUGCCGGAAGAAUGUGCCUCACAUUCCCCGCGGAGACCCCCAGCCCCCUGUGGGCCGCAGCUGCCAUGGGAACUAGACAACUGUGUGGAGCGGGUGAGCCGGGACUCAGGCUGCUCCUCCUCCUUCUCUUGCAGACAUCUGGGGAGUCCUAGGGCUGAAGGUUCCGAUCCGUGGCUGCAGAGAAACAGGCCAGGACUUCCGGAAGCUGGCCUGAGGGUUAGUGUCUGGUUACUCCAGCAGUGGAGAGCUUAUGAAACAUGGAAAUUUGGAUGCUCGCCUUCUGCACCAGCUGAUCCGUCAGCUCUCAGGAGACCCCGUGCUGUUCGUUUAUGGAGCUCCCAGGUGAUUCUGAGAAGCCAGCGCGUCGGGAAACCUCAGAACUGGGAAUUCAACCCCCCAAGUCCUUGCAUUGUGCAUCCCUACGGCCUUCAUCGGAAUGAAGGCAUUGAUGGACCAAAAGACUGCAUCAUGCCAUGGACACUGUCUCCAUGGGAGCAUUGUCAGAAAUGCAGCUUUGCAGGGAAAGUCACAAGGUUCGUAAACCACCCUUUAUGAGAGGGCUGCUGCAUGGCUGACCCAGGUGCACAUGAAAAAAAUGUCUCAUUUCUCAAGGAGAGCCUUCUGCACCUCCCACCACCUCGUUGCUGUGUGGUUUGCCCAUGGGACAUAAUGGUGUUAAAAAUUGGAGCAGCUGCCUGCCUCAGAAUUUAUUGACCUACUGUGUGUUUAACAAGUGUAGCUUAAAAAUACAACCAGCUGGGCUAUUGUUAUCAAAGCCAAAAUUUUGAACCUUGUACUUGAUGUGAAUUUGUAAGGAAAGUCUCUUCUGGUA